rnacentral:rRNA from 1 species
AACGUAGGAGGCGAGCGUUAUCCGGAUUUACUGGGUGUAAAGCGCGUGCAGGCGGUUUACUAAGUUGGAUGUGAAAGCUCCUGGCUCAACUGGGAGAGGUCGUUCAAGACUGGUAGACUGGAGAGCAGUAAGGGAAGGUGGAAUUCCGGGUGUAGUGGUGAAAUGCGUAGAUAUCCGGAGGAACACCAGUGGCGAAAGCGGCCUUCUGGACUGCAUCUGACGCUCAGACGCGAAAGCUAGGGGAGCAAACGGGAUUAGAGACCCCGGUAGUCCUAGCUGUAAACGAUGUGAACUUGGCGUUGGUUGGGUAAAACCGAUCAGUGCCGGAGCAAACGCGAUAAGUUCACCACCUGAGGACUACGGCCGCAAGGUUAAA